UUUAGUCAGGUCCUUAGUUGUUUCAUUAACGUUCUGGAGUUCUGCUCCUUCGUCAGAUGGAGAUAUUUACCCGUAGCAUAUGGCAGGACCCUAGCUGAUUGAGGAGGAAUUAAUCAAUACCUUCACAAAUGAAGAUUUGAAAAUGACAUGUAACUCAAACCUUAGGUCAAAUUUUAGAGGCAAAAACCAAGCUUCUAUUUUACUUUAUCUUGUGGAGGUGGCCAUUCGACUACUUUGCACUUACUUUUAGAUGGAAAUCUUAGCAGGGUUCCAAAAAGACUAGGAAUUUUGUCAGAAUAAAAAUAUGAGAUUGUAUUAUAUGCAAUAUAAAACCAGCGGCAGUUUUAUUGAGAAUCACUCACAGGCAUUGCUGAUGUGGAAGGUACCUCCCUGGGAACUGGAGCAGCCAAGGCCUGAGAAGUUGUGUUUCUGUUCUUCCAGACGGUGCUCGAGACAGAAGUCCAAGCAGAGGUUUUGCAUGAAGGCUGUUGACCUACUGAGGAAUAUCCUUAUUUCCGUGGCAGACCCAGCAGGCCUUGGCAAAUGUUUCCACCAAGAGAACAUGGUGGAGAUGGUGAUAGGAGUCGCUUCUGUCCUGAUCUCCUCUUGGUUGUCUUGCUCCUGCGACCCUUGCUCUUGAAGCCCCACCACCAUGUUGGAAGCAAGCUGGGGGUACCUGCAGAGGUUGGGAGUUCCUGCUGGAAGCCCUGCUGGACCACCAGACAUAGGAAGGACUGGUCCUCAGGGGGUCCCUCCCAGACGUUGAGUCCCCAGCAGAGGUCCCAGACACCACUGGGCAGAGACAAGCCACCUGCUGCUUCCUGUUCGAAUCCCUGACUCAUAGGAACCCAGAGAGGUAAUAAAGAAUUACUGUUGUUCUGCA